AUUGAACGCUGGCGGCAUGCCUUACACAUGCAAGUCGAACGGCAGCGGGGACUUCGGUCCGCCGGCGAGUGGCGAACGGGUGAGUAAUGUAUCGGAACGUACCUUUCAGUGGGGGAUAACGUAGCGAAAGUUACGCUAAUACCGCAUAUUCUGUGAGCAGGAAAGCAGGGGAUCGCAAGACCUUGCGCUGAUUGAGCGGCCGAUAUCAGAUUAGCUAUUUGGUGGGGUAAAGGCCUACCAAGGCUACGAUCUGUAGCGGGUCUGAGAGGAUGAUCCGCCACAGUGGGACUGGGACACGGCCCAGACUCCUACGGGAGGCAGCAGGGGGGAAUUUUGGACAAUGGGGGCAACCCUGAUCCAGCCAUGCCGCGUGAGUGAAGAAGGCCUUCGGGUUGUAAAGCUCGUUCGGCCGGGAAGAAAUCGCACAGGCUAAUACCUUGUGUGGAUGACGGUACCGGAAUAAGAAGCACCGGCUAACUACGUGCCAGCCGCCGCCGUAAUAC
rnacentral:rRNA from 1 species